rnacentral:rRNA from 1 species
AACGAACGCUGGCGGCGUGCCUAACACAUGCAAGUCGAACGAGAAAGGGGCUUCGGCUCCGAGUAAAGUGGCGCACGGGUGAGUAACACGUGGGUAACCUGCCUCUAAGAUUGGGAUAACUCGUCGAAAGAUGAGCUAAUACCGAAUAAGACCACAGUUCCCGCGGGAACAGGGGUCAAAGGUAGCCUCUGCUUGCAAGCUAUCACUUAGAGAUGGGCCUGCGCACCAUUAGCUAGUUGGUAGGGUAACGGCCUACCAAGGCAAAGAUGGUUAGCUGGUCUGAGAGGAUGAUAAGCCACACUGGAACUGAGACACGGUCCAGACUCCUACGGGAGGCAGCAGUGGGGAAUAUUGCGCAAGGGGCGAAAGCUUGACGCAGCAACGCCGCGUGAGUGAUGAAGGCCUUCGGGUCGUAAAGCUCUGUCGGGAGGAACGAAUGCUCCUGAGGUUAACAGCCUCGGGAGGUGACGGUACCUUCAAAGGAAGCACCGGCUAACUCUGUG